rnacentral:rRNA from 1 species
GUCCACGCUGUAAACGAUGAGUGCUAGGUGUCGUGGGUAUUGACCCCCGCGGUGCCGCAGCUAACGCAUUAAGCACUCCGCCUGGGAAGUACGGUCGCAAGACUAAAACUCAAAGGAAUUGACGGGGUCCCCGCACAAGCGGUGGAGCAUGUGGUUUAAUUCGACGCAACGCGCAGAACCUUACCUGGGCUGGAAAGUGUUCGGAAGUCUUGUGAAAACGAGAUGUGCCCGCAAGGGAGCCGAGUGACAGGUGCUGCAUGGCUGUCGU